rnacentral:pre_miRNA from 14 species
CUCUUGGGUGUUUAAAACAAUGUAUUGAAGAGAUAUUUACAUGUGAAAGACCCCCGGAGUGGGGAGACCCUCACUCAAGUCUCGGGAUGACGCAACCCCCCAAGAACUCACACAAGACC